GAGUUUGAUCCUGGCUCAGGAUGAACGCUGGCGGCGUGCUUAACACAUGCAAGUCGAACGAAGCGCCUUGGACAGAUUCUUCGGAUGAAGUUUUUGGUGACUGAGUGGCGGACGGGUGAGUAACGCGUGGGUAACCUGCCUCAUACAGGGGGAUAACAGUUAGAAAUGGCUGCUAAUACCGCAUAAGCGCACAGUACUGCAUGGUACAGUGUGAAAACUCCGGUGGUAUAAGAUGGACUCGCGUCCGAUUAGAUAGUUGGUGAGGUAAAGGCUCACCAAGUCGACGAUCGGUAGCCGGACUGAGAGGUUGAACGGCCACAUUGGGACUGAGACACGG
rnacentral:rRNA from 1 species